rnacentral:rRNA from 1 species
ACGGGUGAGUAAUACAUCGGAACGUGCCCUGUAGUGGGGGAUAACUAGUCGAAAGAUUAGCUAAUACCGCAUACGACCUGAGGGUGAAAGUGGGGGACCGCAAGGCCUCAUGCUAUAGGAGCGGCCGAUGUCUGAUUAGCUAGUUGGUGAGGUAAAGGCUCACCAAGGCGACGAUCAGUAGCUGGUCUGAGAGGACGAUCAGCCACACUGGGACUGAGACACGGCCCAGACUCCUACGGGAGGCAGCAGUGGGGAAUUUUGGACAAUGGGGGCAACCCUGAUCCAGCAAUGCCGCGUGUGUGAAGAAGGCCUUCGGGUUGUAAAGCACUUUUGUCCGGAAAGAAAUCGCACUUACUAAUAUUAGGUGUGGAUGACGGUACCGGAAGAAUAAGGACCGGCUAACUACGUGCCAGCAGCCGCGGUAAUACGUAGGGUCCAAGCGUUAAUCGGAAUUACUGGGCGUAAAGCGUGCGCAGGCGGUUGUGCAAGACCGAUGUGAAAUCCCCGGGCUUAACCUGGGAAUUGCAUUGGUGACUGCACGGCUAGAGUGUGUCAGCGGGGGGGGUAGAAUUCC